UACGAAGGGGGCUAGCGUUGCUCGGAAUGACUGGGCGUAAAGGGCGCGUAGGCGGUUUGUACAGUCAGAUGUGAAAUUCCUGGGCUCAACCUGGGGGCUGCAUUUGAUACGUAUGGACUGGAGUGAGGAAGAGGGUCGUGGAAUUCCCAGUGUAGAGGUGAAAUUCGUAGAUAUUGGGAAGAACACCGGUGGCGAAGGCGGCGACCUGGUCCUUUACUGACGCUCAUGCACGAAAGCGUGGGGAGCAAACAGG
rnacentral:rRNA from 1 species